rnacentral:rRNA from 1 species
GAUGCCCCCACAAUUUUUGGGCCGCACGCGCGCUACACUGACGGAGCCAGCGAGUACUCCCCUUGGCCGGAAGGCCCGGGUAAUCCUUGUUAAACUCCCGUCGUGCUGGGGAUAGAGCAUUGCAAUUUUUGACUCAACACGGGGAAACUCACCAGGUCUAGACACAAUGAGGAUUGACAGAUUGAGAGCUCUUUCUUGAUUUUGUGGGUGGUGGUGCAUGGCCGUUCUUAGUUGGUGGAGUGAUUUGUCUGCUUAAUUGCGAUAACGAACGAGACCUUAACCUGCUAAAUAGCCCGUAUUGCUUUGGCAGUACGCCGGCUUCUUAGAGGGACUAUCGGCUCAAGCCGAUGGAAGUUUGAGGCAAUAACAGGUCUGUGAUGCCCUUAGAUGUUCUGGGCCGCACGCGCGCUACACUGACGGAGCCAGCGAGUACUCCCUGGCCGGAAGGCCCGGGUAAUCUUGUAAACUCCUUCGAGGCGCCC